GGGGGGAGGCCGGAUCCUGGGCUGUGUCCCGGCGCCCUGUGCUCCGGAGCCUGCGCUGUUGGAUUCGCGCUCCCGGGCCGCGCAGCCCCCU
rfam:Canis lupus familiaris chromosome 2, whole genome shotgun sequence.